GAUGAAGAACGCAGCGAAAUGCGAUAAGUAAUGUGAAUUGCAGAAUUCAGUGAAUCAUCGAAUCUUUGAACGCACAUUGCGCCCGCCAGUAUUCUGGCGGGCAUGCCUGUUCGAGCGUCAUUUCAACCAUCAAGCCCCCCGGCUUGUGUUGGGGACCUGCGGCUGCCCGCAGGCCCUGAAAACCAGUGGCGGGCUCGCUGUCACUCCGAGCGUAGUAGCAUAUAUCUCGCUCAGGGCGUGCUGCGGGUUCCGGCCGUUAAAAGCCUUUUUUUACCCAAGGUUGACCUCGGAUCAGGUAGGAAGACCAGCUGAACUUAAGCAUAUCAAUAAGCGGAGGA
rnacentral:misc_RNA from 1 species